AUUCAUCUGACGAGUCCCAAAUAGGAUGAAACGCACGUCAAACUGGAAU
rfam:Schistosoma rodhaini strain Burundi genome assembly, scaffold: SROB_scaffold0000367